AAAUUGAAGAGUUUGAUCAUGGCUCAGAUUGAACGCUGGCGGCAGGCCUAACACAUGCAAGUCGAACGGUAACAGGAAGCAGCUUGCUGCUUCGCUGACGAGUGGCGGACGGGUGAGUAAUGUCUGGGAAACUGCCUGAUGGAGGGGGAUAACUACUGGAAACGGUGGCUAAUACCGCAUAACGUCGCAAGACCAAAGAGGGGGACCUUCGGGCCUCUUGCCAUCAGAUGUGCCCAGAUGGGAUUAGCUAGUUGGUGAGGUAACGGCUCACCAAGGCGACGAUCCCUAGCUGGUCUGAGAGGAUGACCAGCCACACUGGAACUGAGACACGGUCCAGACUCCUACGGGAGGCAGCAGUGGGGAAUAUUGCACAAUGGGCGCAAGCCUGAUGCAGCCAUGCCGCGUGUAUGAAGAAGGCCUUCGGGUUGUAAAGUACUUUCAGCGGGGAGGAAGGUGUUGUGGUUAAUAACCGCAGCAAUUGACGUUACCCGCAGAAGAAGCACCGGCUAACUCCGUGCCAGCAGCCGCGGUAAUACGGAGGGUGCAAGCGUUAAUCGGAAUUACUGGGCGUAAAGCGCACGCAGGCGGUCUGUCAAGUCGGAUGUGAAAUCCCCGGGCUCAACCUGGGAACUGCAUUCGAAACUGGCAGGCUUGAGUCUUGUAGAGGGGGGUAGAAUUCC
rnacentral:rRNA from 2 species